rnacentral:rRNA from 1 species
UGGUGAGGUAACGGCUCACCAAGGCGACGAUCAGUAGGGGUUCUGAGAGGAAGGUCCCCCACAUUGGAACUGAGACACGGUCCAAACUCCUACGGGAGGCAGCAGUGAGGAAUAUUGGUCAAUGGGCGAGAGCCUGAACCAGCCAAGUAGCGUGCAGGACGACGGCCCUAUGGGUUGUAAACUGCUUUUAUAUGGGGAUAAAGUGAGUUACGUGUAGCUUAUUGCAGGUACCAUAUGAAUAAGGACCGGCUAAUUCCGUGCCAGCAGCCGCGGUAAUACGGAAGGUCCAGGCGUUAUCCGGAUUUAUUGGGUUUAAAGGGAGCGUAGGCCGCCCCUUAAGCGUGUUGUGAAAUGCCGCGGCUCAACCGUGGCACUGCAGCGCGAACUGGGGGGCUUGAGUGCACGCAACGCAGGCGGAAUUCGUGGUGUAGCGGUGAAAUGCUUAGAUAUCACGAAGAACUCCGAUUGCGAAGGCAGCUUGCGGGAGUGCGACUGACGCUGAAGCUCGAAGGUGCGGGUAUCGAACAGGAUUAGAUACCCUGGUAGUCCGCACAGUAAACGAUGGAUGCCCGCUGUGUGCCCUAGAGGUACGCGGC